AGCAGCCGCGGUAAUUCCAGCUCCAAUAGCGUAUAUUAAAGUUGUUGCAGUUAAAAAGCUCGUAGUUGAAUUUCGGGAUCAAUAUGUUGGUCGUGCCUCGGUACGUACUAGCUUAUUGGUUUCUCCUUUCUGAAGAACCAUGAUGUCAUUUAUUUGGUGUCGUGGGGAAUCAGGACUGUUACUUUGAAAAAUUAGAGUGUUUAAAGCAGGCUCACGCUUGAAUACAUUAGCAUGGAAUAAUGAAAUAGGACGUUUGAUUCUAUUUUGUUGGUUUCUAGGAUCGACGUAAUGAUUAAUAGGGAUAGUUGGGGGCAUUAGUAUUCAAUUGUCAGAGGUGAAAUUCUUGGAUUUUAUUGAAGACUAACUACUGCGAAAGCAUUUGCCAAGGAUGUUUUCACUAAUCAAGAACGAAAGUUAGGGGAUCGAAGACGAUCAGAUACCGUCGUAGUCUUAACCAUAAACUAUGCCGACUAGGGAUCGGAUGAUGUUAAUUUUUAAUGUACUCAUUCGGCGCCUUAAC
rnacentral:rRNA from 1 species